UACGUAGGGGGCAAGCGUUGUCCGGAUUUAUUGGGCGUAAAGAGCGUGUAGGCGGUUAGGUAGGUCCGUUGUGAAAACUCGAGGCUCAACCUCGAGACGCCGAUGGAAACCAUCUGACUAGAGUCCGGAAGAGGAGAGUGGAAUUCCUGGUGUAGCGGUGAAAUGCGCAGAUAUCAGGAAGAACACCCGUGGCUAAGGCGGCUCUCUAGUACGUGACUGACGCUGAGACGCGAAAGCGUGGGAGCGAACAG
rnacentral:rRNA from 1 species